rnacentral:lncRNA from 1 species
AUAAAUAGAACAAGCUAUCAGUUAGAGGUGGAGAGGAUGCUAUGAGGAUCAGCGAGAGGCUUAGCCGAAUGUCAAGAUAUAGGUGAGACCAAAGCGAGAGUGACACAAAGUACGAGAUGAAAUUGUGAAGAGAUAUGAGAUUUUGCCGACUCUAAAUUCUUACAACCGUAGGAUCGACUCAAAUCCAGGCGCAAAUGUUACUGGGGAACACCAUAAGAAGUGAUGUUGACCAGAGAAAAAGUUAGGAGUGGGCGUUUAGAUACCCGUUCAAGAUCAGAUUGAAUAUUUUGGAUUUUCAGGUAUUUCGCUGUAGAAGUAUAGAAUCCGUUUGGGUAUUUUUAUGAUUCGGAUCGGUUUCAGAUAUUUGCAGUUCGGAUUUGGAUAUUUCGGGUCGGGUAAAAUUACUUAAAAAAACAAGAUCAGGAUGAAUAUAGCUCGUCAAUCAAAAUAAAAAUUCUGAAUCACAUAGUAAUGUGUACGUUGUAAAAUUGAACAAUCUAGUAUUAAGAAAACAACAAUAAAAUAAGUUUUUAACCAAAGAGAGAACAUCAAAUACUCAAAGAUGAAGACCAAUACUUCACCAAAACAACCUUAAAAGAGUGCAUCAUCUAGUAAAAUCAAAAGGUGCGAAGAAAUUGAAGACGCGUCCAUUAGGUCCACAGCGGGGAUGGAUUUUGGUUUAGUUUGAUUAUGAAGAAGAAAUAAAAUUGUCUAAACUAUUAGAGAUUUAGGAUUACUAUAUAUAUUCUCAGAUAUUUUGGAUAUCCAUUCACGUAUCGGAUAUUACCCGAUUGGGAUCAAGUAUCCAAUCUUCUCUAACUUAAUACUCGUUUGGAUAUUUUUAUAGAUCGAAUCGGGUUCGAGUUCAAGUUUUUUGGAUUGGAUUCGGAUU